rnacentral:rRNA from 1 species
GAUGAACGCUGGCGGCGUGCCUAACACAUGCAAGUCGAACGAACAGACGAGGAUUUUUCGCGUCUGACUGUAUCGGCGGAGGGGAGAUUAACACGGGUCUAACCUACCUAUAAGACUGGGAUAAUUACGGGAAACCGGAUCUAAUACCGGAUGAUAUAUUGAACCGCAUUGUUCACUAGUGAGAUACGGUUUUGCGGUCACUUAUAGCUGGAUCCGCGCCGCAUUAUUUAGUUGGUAAGGUAACGGCUUACCAAGGCAACGAUGCGUAGCCGGCCUCAGAGGGUGGAUGCCGACCUGGGAACGGAGACACGGCCGAGACUCCUACGGGAGGACGCAGUCGAGAAUCAUACGCAAUGGGGGAGAGCCUAACAGAGCAACGCGGCGUCAGGGAUGAAGGUGCUAGGCUCGGAAAGUUAUGUUAUCAGGGAAGAACAAAUGUGUAAUUACCUAUGCAGGUAUUGACGGUACCGAAUCAGAAAGCCCCGGCUAACUACGUG